CUGGCGGCGUGCCUAAUACAUGCAAGUCGAACGCUUUUUCUUUCACCGGAGCUUGCUCCACCGAAAGAAAAAGAGUGGCGAACGGGUGAGUAACACGUGGGUAACCUGCCCAUCAGAAGGGGAUAACACUUGGAAACAGGUGCUAAUACCGUAUAACACUAUUUUCCGCAUGGAAGAAAGUUGAAAGGCGCUUUUGCGUCACUGAUGGAUGGACCCGCGGUGCAUUAGCUAGUUGGUGAGGUAACGGCUCACCAAGGCAACGAUGCAUAGCCGACCUGAGAGGGUGAUCGGCCACACUGGGACUGAGACACGGCCCAGACUCCUA
rnacentral:rRNA from 1 species